CCUACGGGAGGCAGCAGUGAGGAAUAUUGGUCAAUGGGCGCGAGCCUGAACCAGCCAAGUCGCGUGAGGGAAGACGGUCCUAUGGAUUGUAAACCUCUUUUGUCGGGGAGCAAAAGACGCCACGCGUGGCGUUCCGAGAGUACCCGAAGAAAAAGCAUCGGCUAACUCCGUGCCAGCAGCCGCGGUAAUACGGAGGAUGCGAGCGUUAUCCGGAUUUAUUGGGUUUAAAGGGUGCGCAGGCGGAAGAUUAAGUCAGCGGUAAAAUUGAGAGGCUCAACCUCUUCGAGCCGUUGAAACUGGUUGUCUUGAGUGAGCGAGAGGUAUGCGGAAUGCGUGGUGUAGCGGUGAAAUGCAUAGAUAUCACGCAGAACUCCGAUAGCGAAGGCAGCAUACCGGCGCUCAACUGACGCUCAUGCACGAAAGUGUGGGUAUCGAACAGGAUUAGAUACCCCGGUAGUC
rnacentral:rRNA from 1 species